CUUCCCUCCAACAUACUUUUCUCGCCACUCGCCGAAUACAUAAUAUCCUCGUGUUAAUACCGGCCGUACAAUUUUAUUAUCCUCGGCUGCAGUCCCGGCAAUCUACUCUUUUGCGAUACAUGCUUAGUACAACCGUUUGUUCCACUUUCGAAUCAUCUCUGUACUUCCCGCUUUAUUCCCUAUUGGUUCUUCGAUUCUUGUCCGCGCGUCUACUCACUUAGGUGAUCAAAGACAAAAGAAUGGUAGAUGACAUUUCAUAGUAGUCCAUUUGUUCAACGGUCCAUGUUACCUUGCUCGACCUGGACUUCAAUCGUCUGCGUAAUAUUCUUCAGUUGUGUAAAGAUAUAAUGGAAAUUACUUCGUUAUGAAAUUCUGCACUUUUGUCUAAACUGCUCGUUGAAUAAUGUAAAUAGAGGUUGUGAAUGCUUUUCAGACGAUGCAGUUUUACAGCAGACGACGUGCUAGUGAGAUUUCAAAAUGUUUUGUACAAUCUACACAAUAAAAGUUUCUAAGAAGAUUGCAAUUAUUUGAUUCCGAGGGAAAAUAUUAGACGGAUGCUGCGAAAUUCGAAAGGACAGAGUGAAAGUCGAAAAGACGCCAUGGUGAUUAACGGUAAAUUUAACAACUUUUGUCUCGAAAUGAGGUAAUAUUUCGUAUAUUUUAAGGAAGGUAAACGUAUUUAUAUGUUUGUUUCCUUUUUUUAGUUAGGUAAUUGGUAAUAUUUAUUCACUAUGCAAUUAACUCCAUUUAUUAUAAAUAUUUUGUGACAUUAAGUUAAUUAAUAUCUAAUAUAGCAAAUUUUAAAUUUACGGUGAAUUAAGAAUACCAAGAUGAAAAAUGCAAGAUUAAGGAAAUUACUUUUUUCUUUCGAAUAUAUUAAAUUAUGUUUCCGAAGAAAUUGAAAAGAUUAUUUAACAUAAAUUUGACAUAGAUUUUCCCCGAUUCUGUUUCAUUUGAGUAAGAAAUUCAAAUAACUUUUUCAUUUUGUUUCAUUUUCAUUCAUUUUGUUUGUUUGUAAAUUAUCUGUAAUAUAAUAUUGACUAUUAAUUUCGUCAUUUUCAUUUUCAAUAACUUCUAUUACAUUCGAGAAAGUACGCUAUCAGAGACAAGUUUGAACAGGUUCUGUGCAUCGCAUUUUUUUCGUAUUGUGCAGCUUUGUUUAACGGUCAGAAAAAGUGCGCCAUGUUGCAUUAGAAGGAAGUCACGUAACGCAUAAAGUACUAGAAGCUGUAAUGGCGGACAUUCAAUUUGGCGGGUAAUUUUUACAAAUCAAUCGUAUUAUGAAAUAUUCAUAUAUAUAUAUACAUUUUCUUUCGUAUUCUUGGUAUGAUAUUUGUAUGUAUAUUUUACCUAUUGUAAAUAAAUAAUAAUUAAUUCGUAGUUCUAAAAAAGGAGUAUUUUCAAAAACAAACACUCGACUCCCUAUCCCCUACCUUUUAUAAAGUUUUUCUUUUAGAAUAUUUUUGUGACCGCGCGCAAUGCGGUUGGUAGAGUCAGUGCUUGCUGCGUUAAAUCACAUUUAAUAUUGACUUAGAACAUAACAACUUUCAUUAAAUUUAAUUGUAAUAAUCAGACGCGA